rnacentral:rRNA from 1 species
UGGGGAAUAUUGCACAAUGGGGGAAACCCUGAUGCAGCAACGCCGCGUGAGUGAUGAAGGUUUUCGGAUCGUAAAGCUCUGUCUUUGGGGAAGAUAAUGACGGUACCCAAGGAGGAAGCCACGGCUAACUACGUGCCAGCAGCCGCGGUAAUACGUAGGUGGCGAGCGUUAUCCGGAAUAACUGGGCGUAAAGGGCACGCAGGCGGACUUUUAAGUGAGGUGUGAAAGCCCCGGGCUUAACCUGGGAAUUGCAUUUCAGACUGGGAGUCUAGAGUGCAGAAGAGGAGAGUGGAAUUCCUAGUGUAGCGGUGAAAUGCGUAGAGAUUAGGAAGAACACCAGUGGCGAAGGCGACUCUCUAGACUGUAACUGACGCUGAGGCUCGAAAGCGUGGGGAGCAAACAGG